rnacentral:rRNA from 1 species
GACGAACGCUGGCGGCGUGCUUAACACAUGCAAGUCGAACGGUGAAAGCGGAGCUUGCUCCGCUGGAUCAGCGGCGAACGGGUGAGUAACACGUGGGCAACCUGCCCCUCACUUCGGGAUAACUCCGGGAAACCGGGGCUAAUACCGGAUAUGACCUCCUUGGGCAUCCUUGGAGGCGGAAAGUUUUUCGGUGAGGUGAUGGGCCCGCGGCCUAUCAGCUUGUUGGUGAGGUAGUGGCUCACCAAGGCGACGACGGGUAGCCGGCCUGAGAGGGCGAACGGCCCCACUGGGACUGAGACGCGGCCCAGACUCCUGCGGGUGGGAGCAGUGGGGAAUAUUGCGUCAUGGGCGAAAGCCUGACGCAGCAACGCCGCGUGCGGGAUGACGGCCUUCGGGUUGGAAACCGCUUUCAGCAGGGAAGAAGCCGCAAGGUGACGGUACCUGCAGAAGAAGCACCGGCUAACUACGUGCCAGCAGCCGCCGUAA